CCCGCUGAACUUAAGCAUAUCAAUAAGCGGAGGAAAAGAAACUAACAAGGAUUCCCCUAGUAACUGCGAGUGAAGCGGGAAAAGCUCAAAUUUAAAAUCUGGCGGUCUUGCGGCCGUCCGAGUUGUAAUCUGGAGAAGCGUUUAUCCGCGUCGGACCGUGUACAAGUCUUCUGGAAGGGAGCGUCGUAGAGGGUGAGAAUCCCGUCUUUGACACGGACAACCGGUGCUUUUGUGAUGCGCUCUCGAAGAGUCGAGUUGUUUGGGAAUGCAGCUCAAAAUGGGUGGUAAAUUCCAUCUAAAGCUAAAUAUUGGCGAGAGACCGAUAGCGAACAAGUACCGUGAGGGAAAGAUGAAAAGCACUUUGGAAAGAGAGUGAAACAGUACGUGAAAUUGUUGAAAGGGAAACGCUUGAAGUCAGUCGCGUCGGCCGAGACUCAGCCUUGCCUCGGCUUGGUGUAUUUCUUGGCCCGACGGGUCAGCAUCAAUUUUGCCCCUUGGAUAAUGGCUAGGGAAAUGUGACACCUUUAUAGGUGUGUUAUAGUCUCUCGUCGCAUGCAAGGGUCAGGAUUGAGGAACUCAGCAUGCACCUUCGGGUGUCGGGGCUUUUGUCCACGAUACAUGCUUAGGAUGUUGGCGUAAUGGCUUUAAACGACCCGUCUUGAAACACGG
rnacentral:rRNA from 1 species